UACGGAGGGGACUAGCGUUGUUCGGAAUUACUAGGCGUAAAGCGAGUGUAGGCGGGUGCUUAAGUCCGUAGUGAAAUCUCCCGGCUUAACCGGGAGGGGUCUGCGGAUACUGGGCGUCUUGAGUUGGGUAGGGGGGAUCGGAAUUCCCGGUGUAGAGGUGAAAUUCGUAGAUAUCGGGAGGAACACCAGUGGCGAAGGCGGCGACCUGGGCCAAUAUUGACGCUGAGGUGCGAAAGCGUGGGGAGCAAACAGG
rnacentral:rRNA from 1 species